CAUGAAGUCGGAAUUGCUAGUAAUCGCGGAUCAGCAUGCCGCGGUGAGUACGUUCCCGGGCCUUGUACACACCGCCCGUCACACCAUGGGAGCCGGUAACACCCGAAGUCAGUAGCCUAACAGCAAUGAGGGCGCUGCCGAAGGUGGGAUUGGUGACUGGGGUGAAGUCGUAACAAGGUAUC
rnacentral:rRNA from 1 species